rnacentral:sRNA from 1 species
AGCAGCCGCGGUAAUUCCAGCUCCAAUAGCGUAUAUUAAAGUUGUUGCAGUUAAAAAGCUCGUAGUUGAAUUUCGGGGUCAGUAGAUUGGUCGUGCCACUGGUAUGUACUGGUCUUACUGGCUCCUCCUUCCUGAUGAACCGUAAUGCCAUUAAUUUGGUGUUGCGGGGAGACUGGACUGUUACUUUGAAAAAUUAGAGUGUUUAAAGCAGGCUAACGCUUGAAUACAUUAGCAUGGAAUAAUGAAAUAGGACGUUCGAUCUUAUUUUGUUGGUUUCUAAGAUUGACGUAAUGAUUAAUAGGGAUAGUUGGGGGCAUUAGUAUUCAAUUGUCAGAGGUGAAAUUCUUGGAUUUAUUGAAGACUAACUACUGCGAAAGCAUUUGCCAAGGAUGUUUUCAUUAAUCAAGAACGAAAGUUAGGGGAUCGAAGACGAUCAGAUACCGUCGUAGUCUUAACCAUAAACUAUGCCGACUAGGGAUCGGAUGAUGUAAUUUUUUAAUGACUCAUUCGGCGCCUUAAC